rnacentral:rRNA from 1 species
AUGAAGAGCAGCAGCGUCCAAGAAGCGUGUGAGGAUCAGCUGUCCGAGAUCAGCAGCCAGGCGGCGUCCAACAACAACGAGGCGUCCAACACCUCCUCCCGUCCCAAGCUCGCCCUCGACCUGUCGCUCACCGUCACCGCGGCCGCCGCCGCGGCGGCCACCGCCACCGCCGAGUCGAGCACCACCGACAGCAACGGCGGCCCGCAGGCCGCGCGCGAGCCGACGCGGGUGUUCACCUGCAACUACUGCCAGAGGAAGUUCUUCAGCUCGCAGGCGCUGGGCGGGCACCAGAACGCGCACCGGCGGGAGCGCACGCUGGCCCGGCGCGCGGUGCACCGGCUGGAGGCCUACCCCUACGGCUACGCCGACGUGGCCUCCCUCCCGCUCUACGGCUCCCCCGGGCUGUACCCCAUCGGCAUCCAGGCGCACGCGUCGGCGCUCCCGGGCGCGGCGGCGGCGGCGCAGGCGGAGCGGCAGCAGCACCAGCAGCAGGACGCCGCCGUCCUCGCGGCCACGCCGGCGCGCGCGCGGGCGCUGCUGGGCCCGAUGCCGUUCCUCGUGGGCGGCGACGAGGAGGUCAGCUUCGGGUGGCCCGGCAGCUUCAGGCCACCCCCACCGAGCGCCGGCGUGCUCCCCCUCCUCCACUCAGGCCCCAACUUCGGCAGCAGCAGCGGCAGCGGCAGCAUCGUGGUGCAAGCCGACGAGGAGCCCGACCUGACGCUCAGACUCUAG